UGGUUUCAGUCUUGAUAUGUGGCCGAGGA
rnacentral:piRNA from 1 species